rnacentral:rRNA from 1 species
UACGUAGGGGGCAAGCGUUGUCCGGAUUUAUUGGGCGUAAAGAGCGUGUAGGCGGCCAGGUAGGUCUGCUGUGAAAGUUCAGGGCUCAACCCUGAAAUGCCGGUGGAAACUGUCGAGCUAGAGUCCGGAAGAGGCGACUGGAAUUCCUGGUGUAGCGGUGAAAUGCGCAGAUAUCAGGAGGAACACCGAUGGCGAAGGCAGGUCUCUGGGCCGAUACUGACGCUGAGGAGCGAAAGCGUGGGGAGCGAACAGG